rnacentral:tRNA from 1 species
GCCUGGCUGGCUCAGUUGGUGGGGUGUGUGACUCUGGAUCUCGGGGUCAUGAGUUUGAGCCCCAUGCUGGGUG